rnacentral:rRNA from 1 species
CCUACGGGAGGCAGCAGUGAGGAAUAUUGGUCAAUGGACGAGAGUCUGAACCAGCCAAGUAGCGUGAAGGAUGACUGCCCUAUGGGUUGUAAACUUCUUUUAUAUGGGAAUAAAAUGUUCCACGUGUGGGAUUUUGUAUGUACCAUAUGAAUAAGGAUCGGCUAACUCCGUGCCAGCAGCCGCGGUAAUACGGAGGAUCCGAGCGUUAUCCGGAUUUAUUGGGUUUAAAGGGAGCGUAGGUGGAUUGUUAAGUUAGUUGUGAAAGUUUGCGGCUCAACCGUAAAAUUGCAGUUGAAACUGGCAGUCUUGAGUACAGUAGAGGUGGGCGGAAUGCGUGGUGUAGCGGUGAAAUGCUUAGAUAUCACGAAGAACUCCGAUUGCGAAGGCAGUUCACUGGACUGCAACUGACACUGAGGCUCGAAAGUGUGGGUAUCAAACAGGAUUAGAUACCCCUGUAGUC